rnacentral:rRNA from 1 species
UACGUAGGGUGCGAGCGUUAAUCGGAAUUACUGGGCGUAAAGCGUGCGCAGGCGGCUCGUUAAGUUCGUUGUGAAAGCCCCGGGCUCAACCUGGGAACUGCAAUGGAAACUGGCGGGCUUGAGUGUGGCAGAGGGGGGUGGAAUUCCGCGUGUAGCAGUGAAAUGCGCAGAUAUCAGGAAGAACACCCGUGGCUAAGGCGGCUCUCUAGUACGGUACUGACGCUGAGACGCGAAAGCGUGGGGAGCGAACAGG